GGCGUGGAUUAGGCAUGCAAGUCGAACGAAUCCCAAUCGCUGUAGCAAUACAGUGGUUGGGGAAAGUGGCGAAAGGGCAGUAAGGCGUGGGUAACCUACCCCGGGGACGGGGAUAGCUAUCCUAACGGAUAGGUAAUACCUGGCGAUCUGGCUGAGGCGCAUGUCUUGGCCAGGAAAUGAAUUUCGCCUCGGGAGGGGCUCACGUAGUAUUAGCUAGUUGGUGGGGUAACGGCCUACCAAGGCGAAGAUGCUUAGCAGGUGUGAGAGCACGACCUGCGCCACUGGCACUGAGACACUGGCCAGACUCCUACGGGAGGCUGCAGUCGAGGAUCUUCGGCAAUGGGCGCAAGCCUGACCGAGCGACGCCGCGUGUGCGAUGAAGGCCUUCGGGUUGUAAAGCACUGUCGAGGGGGAGGAAAGCCGAAAGGUUUGACCUAUCCCUGGAGGAAGCACGGGCUAAGUUCGUGCCAGCAGCCGCGGUAAGACGAACCGUGCGAACGUUGUUCGGAAUCACUGGGCUUAAAGGGCGCGUAGGCGGUCGAUCAAGUCCGGGGUGAAAGCCUCCAGCUUAACUGGAGAAGUGCCUUGGAUACUGAUCGACUAGAGCGAGGUAGGGGCAGCUGGAACUUCCGGUGGAGCGGUGAAAUGCGUUGAUAUCGGAAGGAACGCCGGUGGCGAAAGCGAGCUGCUGGACCUUUUCUGACGCUGAGGCGCGAAAGCUAGGGGAGCAAACGGGAUUAGAUACCCCGGUAGUCCUAGCCCUAAACGAUGGGUACUAGAUUGUAGACUUAACAUGGGUUUACAGUCGAAGCAAAAGUGUUAAGUACCCCGCCUGGGGAGUAUGGUCGCAAGGCUGAAACUCAAAGGAAUUGACGGGGGCUCACACAAGCGGUGGAGCACGUGGCUUAAUUCGAGUCUACGCGAAGAACCUUAUCCUAGGCUUGACAUGUGCGAAAGCGGUAGGUGUUGUAGCUGCUGGAAACAGUUCGCGAACCCGCAAGGGGGACCUACCACAGGUGCUGCAUGGCUGUCGUCAGCUCGUGUCGUGAGAUGUCGGGUUAAGUCCCAUAACGAGCGAAACCCUUGCCCUUAGUUGCCAACACGUCAUGGUGGGGACUCUAGGGGGACUGCCGGUGUUAAACCGGAGGAAGGUGGGGAUGACGUCAAGUCCUCAUGGCCUUUACGCCUAGGGCUGCACACGUGCUACAAUGGCGUGAACAAAGGGACGCAACAGCGCGAGCUUGAGCAAAUCCCAAAAAAACACGCCUCAGUUCAGAUUGCAGGCUGCAACUCGCCUGCAUGAAGUUGGAAUCGCUAGUAAUCGCAGGUCAGCAACACUGCGGUGAAUGUGCUCCUGAGCCUUGUACACACCGCCCGUCAAGCCACGAAAGGGGGGAGCGCCCGAAGACGCCUUUACCGGCGGCUACGGCGAGACCCCUGAUUGGGACU
rnacentral:rRNA from 1 species